rnacentral:tRNA from 1 species
CUGCCCGUAGCUCAACUGGAUAGAGCAACCCCCUUCUAAGGGGUAGGUUGGGGGUUCGAUCCCCUCCGGGCAGACCA